rnacentral:ncRNA from 1 species
CACAAAGGUUUGGUCCUAGCCUUACUAUUAAUUCAAAUUUUAAUUAUACAUGUAAGACUCAACACCCCAGUGAGAAUGUCCCCUCUUUACUAAUUAAAAUAAGGGAACUGGUAUCAGGCACCAAAAGCCCACGACACCUUGCUUAGCCACACCUCCACAGGAAUUCAACAGUAAUUAAUAUUGAACCAUUAGCGACAGCUAGAUUCAGUAAAAAUUAACAGAGUCGGUAAAUCUCGUGCCAGCCACCGCGGUUAUACGAAAGACUCAAAUUAAUACUCACGGCCUAAAGGGUAGUUAAAGAAAUAAUUAAAUAAGAUUAACCUCUUUCCCUUGCUGUUAUACCCAAAGGAAAUAAAAAAUUCAUAAACGAAAGUUAUCUUAAAACACUUGAACCUACUAAAGUUAGGAAACAAACUAGGAUUAGAUACCCUACUAUGCCUAACCCUAAACUUUUAUCCGCCAGAAUAUUACAAGCUAAAGCUUAAAACUCAAAGGACCUGGCGGUGCUCUAUACCAUCUAGAGGAGCCUGUUCUAUAAUCGAUAAUCCCCGAUAAACCUCACCACUUCUUGCCAAUACAGCCUAUAUACCACCGUCCUCAGUUCACCCUUCAAAGGAUUAAUAGUAAACAAAAUUACUUUAAGUAAAAAAAUCAGGUCAAGGUGUAGCACAUGAAGUAGAAAGAAAUGGGCUACAUUUUUUAAAUUAAAAGACACGGAAUACUUUAUGAAAUAAAGUAUGAAGGAGGAUUUAGAAGUAAAAAGAAAAAAGAGUGUUCUUUUUAAAUUGGCAAUGGAGCGCGCACACACCGCCCGUCACCCUCUUCAAUAUCAUAUACAGAAGAGAUAAGUCGUAACAUGGUAAGUCUACCGGAAGGUGGCCUUGGAU